ACCUUAUCCACCUUAUCCACCACAACCAAUGGGGCCUUCGGCAGGGCCCUACCCACCUCAGCAGGGGUACCCCUACCCAGGAUAUCCACAGUACGGCUGGCAGGGUGGGCCUCAGGAGCCUCCUAAGACCACAGUGUACGUGAUGGAACGGGAAAGGAAGACAGACAGUGGGUGCGCGGCGCUCCUGGCCGCGUGCUGGACUGCACUCUGCUGCUGCUGCCUUCUGGACAACUUUGACUGAGCAGCCAAGACCCAAGUUCCCUGCAGCUCUGCUACCUCCUGUUACUGCAAUAAACAACUACAGUUGCAUAA